rnacentral:snRNA from 1 species
GUGCUCCCUUGGCAGCACAUAGACUAAAAUUGGAACAACACAGAGAAGAUUAGCAUGGCCCCUGCACAAGGAUGACACGCAAAUUCAUCAAGUGUCUUAUGUCUUU